rnacentral:lncRNA from 1 species
CCUUCCUCCUCUCUGACCCCAUCCAACACCCCUUGUUAAGAUAAUGUGAUCCCCAGCUCAACCAUAUUUCAGACAGAGGACUCAAAUUCUGAAACUGUUUUCUGUUAAAAUGCUUAAUAAUUAGAAAAAUGAUACUCAUGAUACUCAUUCCCUUGGGAGCUGCAGUCCCUGCAGGAAACCGUCUUAAACCCAGGGCAAGAAACAUAAAGUCACUUGGCUGUCCCUUAUCUCUAAGGGCACCUGAUGCAUAAGUGGACUAGAGAAAGGAAAGAAAGAAAAACUCCAAAGACCUACAAAUCGU